rnacentral:tRNA from 1 species
CUGGCUGUGGCUCAGCUUGGUAGAGCGCUACAUUAGGGAUGUAGAGGUCGCAAGUUCAAAUCUUGUCAGCCAGA